rnacentral:lncRNA from 1 species
GGGCGGGGGUCUACACUCUCUCCUCACCCCUGCCUCGUGAUUCGGCGCCCUCCGCGUUGGCACCGAUUUACACCCCCCCUCCGCUCCCAGGAGAAGCAGCAGCGGGAGCAGCCCAGCUCUGCUGGCCGGAACAGCCGGGAUUACAUAAUCCUGCCUCUUCACUCUUGCUGCGAUCCCCACUUGAUCCCUGAGCUAGAGCCGCACGGGAAACGCGGAAGGGGGGGUGGGGGCGAGAGAGAUCUCAGUGUGUACGGUAAUACCAAUACACACAUACACACGACGGAAACACGCGAACGCGCGCCCUCGCAGGCAGGCGCGCGCGCGCACACACACACACACACACACACACACACACACACACACACACACACACACACACACACACACACACACACACACACCUUGAAGGAAUCCAGAGGAGUUCGACAGCAGAGGCCCGAUUCAUCCGAUCCACCAGCCCACACCGCGGGGAAAAAGAGAAGGAGGGGGAGGACUCCGACGAUCGAGUGGCUGGGCAGCAGGCAAGGCACUGUAGCUGGACAGGUGACAGGCACCGGGCAAUCCUAUACACACACACACACACACACACACACACACACACACACACACACCGCAAGAGCAGCCCCCCUCCCCAACACGCGCUUUCGCCAGGCCACCCCGGGGGUGGCGAAGGAGCCGCAGACACACACACACACCAGCUCCUCUCUGCGUCCGUGGGAUCCGGAAACUUCAGUCAGGGCGGUGGCACUGCAGGGAGCCCAAGGAUCGGGGCGGGGAGAUGAGGCGGGCGGAGUAGGGGGGGGAGGUAUCCUGCUCAGCUUUGCCAAAGAAGCGAGAGCCCUUCGCACGCGGUCCACUGCAGCCCGGGAAGGGCUCCGGCGCCCAGAACUUUCCUCCCGUCCCGUCCCGUCCCCUCCUUACCCCCACCCCGCAAGCCACCCGCCACCCUUCCCUGGCCACCGUCUACCUUUCCUGACCAGCUGCCCGCUUUCGGAAUACCUGAGGCUUAACAGGCACGGCGGCUGCCCGGGCUCGGGGAGCGCAAGCGGCGUCUGCAAGGCUAGCCCGGCCGUCCUCCCUCCCGCGAGGAGAUGCUGA